rnacentral:rRNA from 1 species
UACGGGGGGGAGCAAGCGUUGUUCGGAUUUACUGGGCGUAAAGGGCGCGUAGGCGGUCAGCACAAGUCAGUUGUGAAAUCUCCGGGCUUAACUCGGAAAGGUCAACUGAUACUGUGCGACUAGAGUGCAGAAGGGGCAACUGGAAUUCUCGGUGUAGCGGUGAAAUGCGUAGAUAUCGAGAGGAACACCUGCGGCGAAGGCGGGUUGCUGGCCCGUUUCUGACGCUCAGGCGCGACAGCGUGGGGAUCAAACAGG